CCCAGCACCAAGAACAAGAUCUUACAUAAAAUGGGCACAUGUAGUUCUGCACCUAAUAAAUGUUUGUUGGGUUGGAUUGAAUUAUACUGAGUUGGAUUUGGUCGGAUAUAUGGUUAAAAACCCCCAGACUUACUUACUUACUUACCUUGAACCCUUUCACUUCACUUCUCUCAGCCUCAGUGGUCCUCCCUGUCUGCUCUGCUGGGAUAACAAUCAUUGCAGUGCCUACCUCAUAGGGCUGUUGUGAGGCAAUCAUUUUGCAAACCAUAAAUAUGAUCUCUAAGGAAGAUACACAUAAAUACUAUCUGAAUGCAAGGGGUCAGGAAGAACCUUUCUGAUGGGCUAUUCAGAAAGGUUUCAUGGGGGUAGUAUGAUCUAGGCCCUAAAAGAGCUUCUCACAAAGAGAGAAGUAGAAGAAAAGCCUUCAAGACAGCAUGAAUAGAAACACUGAGCCAGAAAAGAACAAAGUUAAUCCAUUUGUUCACUUCUCUCUUUAAAAGAAAAUGAGUGGGGACCAUGCAAGAUACCAGCCUCCUUUUGACUAUGGGCUACUGCUGGAGGAAGAAGCCCCGCUAUCCCGGAAGAGCUCAAGGAGGGGAUGGAUACUUGAAGACUUGGAGCAAGAGCUCACAGAACUAGGCAUUCCCUUAGGUAACCCACCAGGACUGGAUCCAAGUGGGCAAAGACGUGAUGUCGACUCUUUUCUACCACCUAUUUUUGCUCCCUGUUUUUGUGGAUGUGUCCUGAGAUCAAAGUCUGUGCUGAACUCCCGCCCCUCUUCAGCCACUUCCCGAGCCACCACCCCCGAAUCAGGACCUACCAUGGUCCAACCACCAACUAGGUUUGCAACUCCAUCGGGUUUUCACACAACAACCCAGACUGGAUCUCCAGCUCCUCCUUCUGGGAGGAGAUCUCAAGCUCCGAGAAACCCUCCACCCAUACGACAAUUAGUCCCACUGCCUGUUUGGCCCCAACCCUUUCAUUUUACCAUCCCUAAGACCAAUCCUCCAAGGGUUCACAACCCUCCUAUUGAAUGUCUAGGUUCCAGCUUUCCGAGGUGGAGAAAGAAAAAACAGUCCUCUUUGCCUUCUCCUUCUCCUAUCUUCAAUCCCCUUAAAAUAAAGUGUAGUAUUUGAUGCAACAAUGUUGUCUUUCUUUUGUGACUGAGAAGAGCAUAAUUGAAUUCAUCAUGUAUAGAAAUGAUUUAAAAAAAUAACACUUUAUGUGCGUCUAAUACUUGGU
rnacentral:lncRNA from 1 species